UCUUCUACAGUAAUGAAAUAUCAUGACCUCUCUUCUACAGUAAUGAAAUAUCUUCUUCUUCGCCUGAGGACAUAACACACCACCACAUCUGUGUGUAAACCUCGUUAAAUUUGUGUUGUGUGUGAAUCUGUGUCUUUGUUUUUUCCUUCGUAUUUGUUGGUGUUUGCUCUAAUACUUUUUUUUUUUCCACCUAAUCUUCCGUUCUCUCUUUGUUCGCAUUUUGUACACUAUGAAAUCCAGAGACCUUAGAAUUGGUAUUAAAGGUCAAGGCACAGCUAAGCUGAUUAAGAGACAAAGAGGGAAGAAAUCCUCUUCACCUUGCUGCAUCCAUAGGCUAUUAUGAUGGGUUGAUUGCAUUACUCAAUGUGGAUACUCUGCCCACCUAUGAAGUAGACCACAUUGGCCUCUACCCAAUUCACAUGGUAGCCUCUACUGGCCAUAUUAAAGUAAUACAAUUUCUCUUGGAACAUUGUCCCGGCUCUUGGGAGUUGCUCAACAAAAAAAGUCAGAAUAUUCUUCAUAUAGCUACUCAGAGUGGCAAGAAAAAUGUGGUGACAUAUAUUUUGAACAUACCAGUGCUUGAGCAGCUAAUAAACGAGAGGGAUGACAAUGGAAACACACCUUUGCAUCUGGCCACCAAAGGCUGGCGUUCUAAAGUUGUUGGUGUUUUGAGUAGGGAUCAAAGAGUGAAAACAUCUUGAACAACAAAAAAUUAUACAGCUCUAGAUAUUGCAGAGACGAAAGGCAUUAGAACAGUAGCAUCAUUUCGAAAGCAUUGAGGAUUGCAAAUGCUCCAAGUGCACGAGACGUAUACGAUGAUAAAGUCCGAUUAAAUUCAAGUGUCCGACAACCUACAACAGAAUUUUACAAGGACAAAGUUAACACUCUUUUGUUGGUGUCUACACUAGUUGCCACUAUAACCUUCACUGCAGGUUUUACAAUUCCUGGAGGUUUAAAUAGUGAUGGCCUUAACCAAGGCAUGGCGACAAUGCUAUCCAAUAACAAGUUUAAAGCUUUUGUCAUCUGUGAUACCAUAGCUAUGUAUUGUUCAAUUCUUUCUGUUUUAUCCCUCGUAUGGGCACAAAUAGGAGAUGUUCCUCUGAUGCGUUCUAUUAUUGAUUUUACAUUGCCAUUGUUGGGAAUUUCACUUACCAUGAUGAUUGUUGCAUUCACUGUAGGUCUAUACAUAGUUACCAGUAGACUUCAUUGGCUUGCCAAUGUUGUUUUGGUCAUGAGCAUAAUAUUCCUCAUAUGUAUCCUAGCCUUGUCAUUGCCACUUCGGAUGCCAAUUUGGUCACAAAAUUGCUUCUUUCAGAGGAUCUCUUAUUAUUUUCUCUAUCUGCUAGUGUCUGCAGCUGGGGGUGAUAGUGAUAGUGUUGAUGAUAUAACUACACGAGGAGGCGCCAAUUUGUUUACCAGAAGCAGAAUACCUGGAAUUAAUGAUUGAUGUUGUAUUAACUUGUUAUUGUAAUUGAUAAUCAAUAAUAAAUUUUCACUUUGGAA